UACGUAGGGUGCGAGCGUUAAUCGGAAUUACUGGGCGUAAAGCGUGCGUAGGCGGUUCGUUAAGUUCGUUGUGAAAGCCCCGGGCUCAACCUGGGAAUGGCAAUGGAAACUGGCGGGCUUGAGUAUGGCAGAGGGGGGUGGAAUUCCGCGUGUAGCAGUGAAAUGCGUAGAGAUGCGGAGGAACACCGAUGGCGAAGGCAGCGCCCUGGGCCAAUACUGACGCUCAGGCACGAAAGCGUGGGGAGCAAACAGG
rnacentral:rRNA from 1 species